rnacentral:rRNA from 1 species
UUAAGCGACUAAGCGUACACGGUGGAUGCCCUGGCAGUCAGAGGCGAUGAAGGACGUGCUAAUCUGCGAAAAGCGUCGGUAAGGUGAUAUGAACCGUUAUAACCGGCGAUGUCCGAAUGGGGAAACCCAGUGCAAUUCGUUGCACUAUCGUUAACUGAAUACAUAGGUUAACGAGGCGAACCGGGGGAACUGAAACAUCUAAGUACCCCGAGGAAAAGAAAUCAACCGAGAUUCCCCCAGUAGCGGCGAGCGAACGGGGAGCAGCCCAGAGUCUGAAUCAGCUUGUGUGUUAGUGGAACGGUCUGGAAAGUCCGACGGUACAGGGUGAUAGUCCCGUACACCAAAAUGCACAGGUUGUGAACUCGAAGAGUAGGGCGGGACACGUGGUAUCCUGUCUGAAUAUGGGGGGACCAUCCUCCAAGGCUAAAUACUCCUGACUGACCGAUAGUGAACCAGUACCGUGAGGGAAAGGCGAAAAGAACCCCGGCGAGGGGAGUGAAAAAGAACCUGAAACCGUGUACGUACAAGCAGUGGGAGCACCUUCGGGUGUGACUGCGUACCUUUUGUAUAAUGGGUCAGCGACUUAUAUUCUGUAGCAAGGUUAACCGUAUAGGGGAGCCGCAGGGAAACCGAGUCUUAACUGGGCGUUAAGUUGCAGGGUAUAGACCCGAAACCCGGUGAUCUAGCCAUGGGCAGGUUGAAGGUUGGGUAACACUAACUGGAGGACCGAACCGACUAAUGUUGAAAAAUUAGCGGAUGACUUGUGGCUGGGGGUGAAAGGCCAAUCAAACCGGGAGAUAGCUGGUUCUCCCCGAAAGCUAUUUAGGUAGCGCCUCGUGAAUUCAUCUUCGGGGGUAGAGCACUGUUUCGGCUAGGGGGUCAUCCCGACUUACCAACCCGAUGCAAACUACGAAUACCGAAGAAUGUUAUCACGGGAGACACACGGCGGGUGCUAACGUCCGUCGUGAAGAGGGAAACAACCCAGACCGCCAGCUAAGGUCCCAAAGUCAUGGUUAAGUGGGAAACGAUGUGGGAAGGCACAGACAGCCAGGAUGUUGGCUUAGAAGCAGCCAUCAUUUAAAGAAAGCGUAAUAGCUCACUGGUCGAGUCGGCCUGCGCGGAAGAUGUAACGGGGCUAAACCAUGCACCGAAGCUGCGGCAGCGACACUAUGUGUUGUUGGGUAGGGGAGCGUUCUGUAAGCCUGCGAAGGUGUGCUGUGAGGCAUGCUGGAGGUAUCAGAAGUGCGAAUGCUGACAUAAGUAACGAUAAAGCGGGUGAAAAGCCCGCUCGCCGGAAGACCAAGGGUUCCUGUCCAACGUUAAUCGGGGCAGGGUGAGUCGACCCCUAAGGCGAGGCCGAAAGGCGUAGUCGAUGGGAAACAGGUUAAUAUUCCUGUACUUGGUGUUACUGCGAAGGGGGGACGGAGAAGGCUAUGUUAGCCGGGCGACGGUUGUCCCGGUUUAAGCAUGUAGGCUGGUUAUCCAGGCAAAUCCGGAUAAUCAAGGCUGAGGUGUGAUGACGAGGCACUACGGUGCUGAAGUAACAAAUGCCCUGCUUCCAGGAAAAGCCUCUAAGCAUCAGGUAACAUCAAAUCGUACCCCAAACCGACACAGGUGGUCAGGUAGAGAAUACCAAGGCGCUUGAGAGAACUCGGGUGAAGGAACUAGGCAAAAUGGUGCCGUAACUUCGGGAGAAGGCACGCUGGUGUGUAGGUGAAGUCCCUGCGGAUGGAGCUGAGACCAGUCGAAGAUACCAGCUGGCUGCAACUGUUUAUUAAAAACACAGCACUGUGCAAACACGAAAGUGGACGUAUACGGUGUGACGCCUGCCCGGUGCCGGAAGGUUAAUUGAUGGGGUUAUCCGUAAGGAGAAGCUCUUGAUCGAAGCCCCGGUAAACGGCGGCCGUAACUAUAACGGUCCUAAGGUAGCGAAAUUCCUUGUCGGGUAAGUUCCGACCUGCACGAAUGGCGUAAUGAUGGCCAGGCUGUCUCCACCCGAGACUCAGUGAAAUUGAACUCGCUGUGAAGAUGCAGUGUACCCGCGGCAAGACGGAAAGACCCCGUGAACCUUUACUAUAGCUUGACACUGAACAUUGAGCCUUGAUGUGUAGGAUAGGUGGGAGGCUUUGAAGCGUGGACGCCAGUCUGCGUGGAGCCAACCUUGAAAUACCACCCUUUAAUGUUUGAUGUUCUAACGUUGGCCCCUUAUCGGGGUUGCGGACAGUGUCUGGUGGGUAGUUUGACUGGGGCGGUCUCCUCCCAAAGCGUAACGGAGGAGCACGAAGGUUAGCUAAUCCUGGUCGGACAUCAGGAGGUUAGUGCAAUGGCAUAAGCUAGCUUGACUGCGAGCGUGACGGCGCGAGCAGGUGCGAAAGCAGGUCAUAGUGAUCCGGUGGUUCUGAAUGGAAGGGCCAUCGCUCAACGGAUAAAAGGUACUCCGGGGAUAACAGGCUGAUACCGCCCAAGAGUUCAUAUCGACGGCGGUGUUUGGCACCUCGAUGUCGGCUCAUCACAUCCUGGGGCUGAAGUAGGUCCCAAGGGUAUGGCUGUUCGCCAUUUAAAGUGGUACGCGAGCUGGGUUUAGAACGUCGUGAGACAGUUCGGUCCCUAUCUGCCGUGGGCGCUGGAGAAUUGAGGGGGGCUGCUCCUAGUACGAGAGGACCGGAGUGGACGCAUCACUGGUGUUCGGGUUGUCAUGCCAAUGGCACUGCCCGGUAGCUAAAUGCGGAAGAGAUAAGUGCUGAAAGCAUCUAAGCACGAAACUUGCCCCGAGAUGAGUUCUCCCUGAGACUUUAAGUCUCCUGAAGGAACGUUGAAGACGACGACGUUGAUAGGCCGGGUGUGUAAGCGCAGCGAUGCGUUGAGCUAACCGGUACUAAUGAACCGUGAGGCUUAACCUU